UCAGCUUUUUGACAGGGUUUCUAAUUCAGUUUUUCAAAUGUUCCAGCAGAGACAUUUAUAGUAAUAGGUUCUUUUGUAAACUGACCUUUCCUUGUUCUGAGUUUAUUUAUUUAUUUAUUUUAGUAGUGUAUAUCACCACUGUUGGUACAGGUCCAGGUUUAGGGACCCCAUCUACUUUUUGGGCAUGGAUUAUGUGGGAUGUAGGCUGCAUCCUGCUUCCAGGAGCUGGCAAGGAAUAAGGCGCCAUUUUCUUGCCACUUCAUCCUUUGUAAAGGAUACUAUUUCAGUUGGACUUUGUAUAUCCAUAUCAGCCAAUUCAUGUGAUUUAUUUAUUCAUUUAUUUAUUUUCCGUUAUGGUGAUAAUUCUGCACUUUAAUCAUUUUGGUCAAAAUUCAGCAGGGGUGGGUGUAACAGAGAGAAAAGUGUGUAUGAAUGUGUAUGUGAAUUUUGCCCAAAAUAAUAAUAAUAGUGUGUAUGUGUUUGUAAUGAGAUUGUUGUAUCCAUGUGUUUGGAGCCACCUAGUGGUGUGAUGAGUGACUGCAUGCAACGGGUCCUUCAGACGCUCUCGCGGCUUCCCCCACCAGAAUUCUGAGGAGCGCUGGUGGAGCUGUUGGACCACUUGCAUGCAGUCAAUCACAUUGUGAGAAUUUCAUUUUAUAUCACACUAGGUGACAACAACCAACCAAGACUAUACUGGCGUUGUGAAAAGCA